CACGGGGGUUGCGAGCGUUGUCCGGAAUUACUAGGCGUAAAGGGCAGGUAGGCGGAGAUGUAAGUUUGAUGUUAAAGGUACUGGCUCACCCAGUGUACGGCAUCAGAUACUGCAUUUCUUGAAUACGGUUGGGGAAGACAGAAUUCCUGGUGUAGCGGUGGAAUGCGCAGAGAUCAGGAGGAAUACCGAAGGCGAAGGCAGUCUUCUAAGCCGGUUAUUGACGCUAAACUGCGAAGGUGUGGGUAUCAAACAGG
rnacentral:rRNA from 1 species